rnacentral:tRNA from 1 species
CUGAGGGUAGCUCAGCUGGAUAGAGCAACGGUCUUCUAAACCGUGGGUCGCGGGUUCGAAUCCCGCUCUUCAGA